CCCCUAGAUGUUCUGGGCCGCACGCGCGCUACACUGAACAGUUCAACAAGUCUUAACCUUGGCCGAUAGGUCUGGGUAAUCUUUGAACGCUGUUCGUGAUUGGGAUAGACCUUUGCAAUUAUGGGUCUUCAACGAGGAAUUCCUAGUAAACGCAAGUCAUCAGCUUGCAUUUAUUACGUCCCUGCCCUUUGUACACACCGCCCGUCGCACCUACCGAUUGAAUGGUCCGGUGAAAUCUCGGGACGGCGGCUUGGUCGCUUGCGUCCGACUGCUGAAACUUGAUUAAACCAUAUCAUUUAGAGGAAGGUGAAGUCGUAACA
rnacentral:rRNA from 1 species